GCCACGGCCCGGAGAGGGUGCCAGGCCCGUGCGACCUCCGCGCUUGCCUCCCGGGAGGGGCGCUCCUCAGAGUCGGGUUGCUUGAGAGUGCAGCCCAAAGUCGGUGGUAAACUCCACCUAAGACUGAAUACGGCCACGAGACCGAUAGCGAACAAGUACCGUGAGGGAAAGUUGAAAAGCACUUUGAAGAGAGAGUUCAAGAGUACGUGAAACCGUUCAGGAGUAAACGGGUGGUACCCGAAAUUUCGAAAGGGGAGAUUCAGGUCUCGCCGGCGACGGGCGAGGGUCGCUUGACGGAUGGCGCGCCGGCGGGCGGGGGGUGACCCCCGUCACAGGCGCGUCACCCGGUGGCCCUCGAAUGUUCGUCGUCGGUGUGACGCACUUCUCCCCGAGUAGGACGUCGCGACCCGUCGGACGCCGGCCCCAAGGGCCCGGGUGGAGUCCCGCCCGCUCUCGAGCGGAAAAGGACCCCGGGAUCCCAGGCCGGAUGUCCGACGGUAGGAAGCGAAAGUCGACGCGCCGCAAGGCGUCCGGCCCUCCGCGAGCACCCUCGGGGGUUAGGGUUCCGGACCCGGUCCGAUCCCUUUCCCACCGUGGGGCUGUCCGCGAACCGUGAGGUGUCCUCGGACGGCGUCGAAAGUUUCGAGUCCGCGACGCUACGGCUUGGAUGGUCCACCCGACCCGUCUUGAAACACGGACCAAGGAGUCUAGCAUGUGCGCAAGUCGUUGGGUCGGACACGCUCCGCUAAACCCAUAGGCGCAAUGAAAGUGAAGGCCGCCGUUCCGGCGGCCGAGGGAGGACGGGGUCGUUCGCUCGCUCCGGCGGGCGUCGGUCCCCGCACCCCCGGGGCGUCUGAUCCCUCAUUGCGAGGGGAGGCGCACCCAGAGCGCACACGUUGGGACCCGAAAGAUGGUGAACUAUGCCUGGCCAGGACGAAGUCAGGGGAAACCCUGAUGGAGGUCCGUAGCGAUUCUGACGUGCAAAUCGAUCGUCGGAGCUGGGUAUAGGGGCGAAAGACUAAUCGAACCAUCUAGUAGCUGGUUCCCUCCGAAGUUUCCCUCAGGAUAGCUUGCGCUCGGAGGAGAGUCUCAUCCGGUAAAGCGAAUGAUUAGAGGCCUUGGGGCCGAAACGGCUUCAACCUAUUCUCAAACUUUAAAUGGGUGAGAACUCCGGCUUGCUCGAUUUAUCGAAGCCGGAGACGGGGUCCCCUCGGGGGCCCCUGGGAUCGGAGUGCAUAGUGGGCCACUUUUGGUAAGCAGAACUGGCGCUGUGGGAUGAACCAAACGACGGGUUAAGGCGCCCGAAUCGACGCUCAUGGGAAACCAUGAAAGGUGUUGGUUGCUUAAGACAGCAGGACGGUGGCCAUGGAAGUCGGAAUCCGCUAAGGAGUGUGUAAUAACUCACCUGCCGAAGCAACUAGCCCUGAAAAUGGAUGGCGCUGAAGCGUCGUGCCUAUACCCGGCCGUCGCCGCAGGGCGGACUCGGCUCCGAGUCGAGUGCCGCUUGACGCGGCGACGAGUAGGAGGGUCGCGGCGGCGUGCGCAGAAGGGUCUGGGCUCGAGCCUGCCUGGAGCCGCCGUCGGUGCAGAUCUUGGUGGUAGUAGCAAAUACUCCAGCGAGGCCCUGGAGGACUGAUGUGGAGAAGGGUUUCGUGUGAACAGCCGUUGCACACGAGUCAGUCGAUCCUAAGCCCUAGGAGAAAUCCGAAGCUAACGGCGAUAGAAAAAAUUUUCAUAAGCAAAAUGAUCCAUCGGUCGGGCGAAAGGGAAUCCGGUUCCUAUUCCGGAACCCGGCAGCGGAACCGUUGUUUGUCGGGCCCUCACAAGGGGUUCGUCAGGGUAACCUAAAAGAGCCCGGAGACGUCGUCGGGAGCCACGGAAAGAGUUUUCUUUUCUGCAUGAGCGUUCGAGUUCCCUGGAAUCCUCUCGCAGGGAGAUAGGGUUUGGAACGCGAAGAGCACCGCAGUUGCGGCGGUGCCCGUGAUUUCCCGACGGACCUUGA
rnacentral:rRNA from 1 species